GGGGAAUCCUCAAGCCGACUACCUACUGAGGGCAGAGCCCAGCCUGGGGCUCGAUCCUGGGAACCCGAAAUUAGGACCCCCCCCCCCCCCCCCCAAGUCAGGGGUCGCCGGGCUGCACUGACCGAGCUAACCGGCACCGAAGACUCUUAUCAGUGAUCAAUCCAAACACCGUGAGCCACCGACUCGCUCUCUACCUUGAGUCCUUUGAUCAAGAUUUAUCCCAAUCGCCGCAGGUGCAGCAUUUGAGGACCCGAAUUGUCAGCCGUGCCCUUGGCUGAGCAGCGAGGCUGAGGCCGGGCCGCAGAGCUCCCCGCCGCUUCCCCCCGCCGCGCGAAGAGGAGCCACGCCGCCGGUCUGCGCAGAGGGAAUUCGUGUUGAAGGGACCUGGGAGCUGGAAGAAGAUGCUGGAAAGGCAACCGCAGAGUGCCAUCUAGCGCCCACCACGUCUUCACCGGCCGCAUGUGAAGGAGAGGUUGGCUCCUGGAUGUGGUCGUGGUCCUGGGUCUCCUCCUGGUGAAAGCUAGUCCCGGCCCCUUAGUUAGAGCCCCACUCUCACGCUGCUUUCACUGCUUGCCACCUGGCUGUAGAUCCGAAUUUUAAACAAGCAAAAUACUCAUUUUGGAGCUGCAGCGGGAGUAAGGCUUCAGUUCAAGGAGGCACUUUGUUGCCCUUUCCAUCGCCCCUCAUGGAACCCCCUCCCCCCCUUUUAACAUCUUAGGGCAAGAGUGGCUCUGAAGUAGAGCUAACUUUUAAUCGAGUUAUGUUAUUUAUUUAUUUAUUUAUUUAUUUAUUUAUUUAUUUAUUUAUUUAUUUUUGGUCUCUUUCCCCGGGUAGUUAUUCCAGAAUAUUUCACCUAAUGAAAAGCGAACUCCUAUUUCAUGAAUUAAAGGAUGGAGAGUAUGGAAGAGGUUAGGAGCUGGCGUUAAAAUCUCUUGCCGUGGAAAUUCGUUGUUAUUGGGGUGGCUCGGAUAUCAGAGCGCUGCCGUCUGCAGACAUUAAAAUUCACUUUGUUUCGGGUCCCUAAUACUGCCAGGCCCUUGCGAAGCACGACUCUGACAUUAUAUUGGGCAAUUCGCGCUGACCUAGUAACUCCAAGCAAUCAUCGCUGGUAACUUCAAGUGACUAUGCUCCAAAAGAAACAGGGCCUAAGGUCACAGUUGUAAAUCUUGCCACAGGAAGGCCAAAGAUUAUAAUCUUUAUGCCAAGUGCUACGGAUUCCUUUCUGCUGAGCAGAGUCAUAUUUCAAAGACUUUACUCAUCUGAAACCUGUAAGUGGUUGUGACAAUAGCAGAUAUGGCUCCAAUGACAUCAAACACACAUUUUAAAGAAAACUGGUAAAUCGCUGGCAGGGGGGGAAAAAAGAAAAGCAAUUACAUUGAUUAUAUCUGAGGUUCAGAUUUUAUAGUCCCAAGUUCCCACCCUAGUGGAAUCCAUGCAUGAUCAUGUUUAUGAAUUAAAGAACUAAUGUUAUUAAAUCAUGGUUAAGUGAGGAGGGUUGUGAUGCUGUUUCAGUGUAUGUCUGUGUGACUUGCAAGCUAAUUCUGUGUUGGCUGUGAUGGUGUCGUGAAGAGGGGACACUAGUUCGGUUGAAAUUUUGUGCUGUUGAGACUAAGGCCCGAGGUUUGAUUACUAAACAGGGCGACCAGCCCCACUGUUGGUGCCUCGAGACAUCCAUACGUUUCCUCAAAAUCAAUGGGCUUUGGGAGAGCCGAUGUAUAAAUUGGCCCCUGCUAAAGAAAUACACUUUAAACAAUCUUAUUAGACUUUUGAUUUCAUAAGGAACGCAUGCUUCCUCCGCGCCAGUUAAGGUCAAAAUGUCACUUUAGUAGAAGCUCGCAUUCUUGCCAAUGCUAACAAUCCCUUCCAGGACCAGCCUGUUCGGGCAGAUUCUCUCACCCUCAUAUUUUCAUGCCUCUCACACUCGUAGAAGGAUAUACAUUUACAUUGAUUUUAGGGUUUUUAAAUAAACAUAGGAUCACGCUAUGAACAUAAUCUGAGGCGGGAUUAUUUUCACUGAGCGGUAUGUCACAGCUUGUAACUUGGCCUUUUUCAUUGCCUAACAUUCUGUAAAACGGGUGUUUAAAAUUUCAUUUAAUCAUUCCCCUCUUCGUGGGCAGGAAGGUGGUUUUCAAGCUUCGUUGUUGUUUUGUCUCACAUUACAAAACAAUGCUGCCAAAAAUAUCACAGAAUCUAAUAUGCCAGCCUUUGAUUCGAUGACACAGUACUAAAGAGACAGAAAAGGUAAUAAGUGAUUGGUGCGGCCUCUAAUAUCAAGUUUCUGAAGUUGAAAGAUUUCCCCAAGCCACAUAAUACGUCCAAACCCAUGUCCUAACAAAGAGGCAUGGCUGC
rnacentral:lncRNA from 1 species